rnacentral:rRNA from 1 species
UACGUAGGGCGCGAGCGUUGUCCGGAAUUAUUGGGGCGUAAAGAGCUCGUAGGCGGCCUGUUGCGUCCGCUGUGAAAUCCCGGGGCUCAACCUGGGCGUGCAGUGGAUACGGGCAGGCUGGAGGCAGGCAGGGGAGAACGGAAUUCUUGGUGUAGCGGUGAAAUGCGUAGAUAUCAAGAGGAACACCCGUGGCGAAGGCAGCUUCCUGGGGCCAUCCUGACACUGAGACGCGAAAGCGUGGGGAGCAAACAGG